CCUGAUACUCGCAACGUGUUCUGUCCCAAAGGGAUAUCCACUGAUCAUUGAACCAAAUGAUUCCCUUCACCUCUUUCCCGUAUAUUUACCCCAACUGCGUGGAAGGAGCGUGGACAUCUCCCAAGCUCCCCGAAAGCUUCAAGCGGUCUCUUGUUGGUCUGUUGGAACAAGGAAUUGUCCCCUGCUUUCGAACUCGAAUAUCGCUUUCCUUUUUGGUGUCUUUUGACA
rnacentral:ribozyme from 1 species